GAUGAACGCUGGCGGCGUGCCUAAUACAUGCAAGUCGAGCGAACAGACGAGGAGCUUGCUCCUCUGACGUUAGCGGCGGACGGGUGAGUAACACGUGGAUAACCUACCUAUAAUACUGGGAUAACUUCGGGAAACCGGAGCUAAUACCGGAUAAUAUAUUGAACCGCAUGGUUCAAUAGUGAAAGACGGUUUUGCUGUCACUUAUAGAUGGAUCCGCGCCGCAUUAGCUAGUUGGUAAGGUAACGGCUUACCAAGGCAACGAUGCGUAGCCGACGUGAGAGGGUGAUCGGCCACACUGGAACUGAGAGACGGUCCAGACUCCUACGGGAGGCAGCAGUAGGGAAUCUUCCGCAAUGGGCGAAAGCCUGACGGAGCAACGCCGCGUGAGUGAUGAAGGUCUUCGGAUCGUAAAACUCUGUUAUGAGGGAAGAACAAAUGUGUAAGUAACUAUGCACGUCUUGACGGUACCUAAUCAGAAAGCCACGGCUAACUACGUG
rnacentral:rRNA from 1 species